rnacentral:rRNA from 1 species
CGAACUUCCGUUAAUUGAUUAUGACGUACUUGUACUGAUUGAGAUUUUAACACGAAGUGAGUGGCGAACGGGUGAGUAACACGUGGGUAACCUGCCCAGAAGUAGGGGAUAACACCUGGAAACAGAUGCUAAUACCGUAUAACAGAGAAAACCGCAUGGUUUUCUUUUAAAAGAUGGCUCUGCUAUCACUUCUGGAUGGACCCGCGGCGUAUUAGCUAGUUGGUGAGGUAAAGGCUCACCAAGGCAGUGAUACGUAGCCGACCUGAGAGGGUAAUCGGCCACAUUGGGACUGAGACACGGCCCAGACUCCUACGGGAGGCAGCAGUAGGGAAUCUUCCACAAUGGACGCAAGUCUGAUGGAGCAACGCCGCGUGAGUGAAGAAGGGUUUCGGCUCGUAAAGCUCUGUUGUUAAAGAAGAACGUGGGUAAGAGUAACUGUUUACCCAGUGACGGUAUUUAACCAGAAAGCCACGGCUAACUACGUGCCAGCAGCCGCGGUAAUACGUAGGUGGCAAGCGUUAUCCGGAUUUAUUGGGCGUAAAGCGAGCGCAGGCGGUCUUUUAAGUCUAAUGUGAAAGCCUUCGGCUCAACCGAAGAAGUGCAUUGGAAACUGGGAGACUUGAGUGCAGAAGAGGACAGUGGAACUCCAUGUGUAGCGGUGAAAUGCGUAGAUAUAUGGAAGAACACCAGUGGCGAAGGCGGCUGUCUGGUCUGCAACUGACGCUGAGGCUCGAAAGCAUGGGUAGCGAACAGGAUUAGAUACCCUGGUAGUCCAUGCCGUAAACGAUGAUUACUAAGUGUUGGAGGGUUUCCGCCCUUCAGUGCUGCAGCUAACGCAUUAAGUAAUCCGCCUGGGGAGUACGACCGCAAGGUUGAAACUCAAAAGAAUUGACGGGGGCCCGCACAAGCGGUGGAGCAUGUGGUUUAAUUCGAAGCUACGCGAAGAACCUUACCAGGUCUUGACAUCUUCUGACAGUCUAAGAGAUUAGAGGUUCCCUUCGGGGACAGAAUGACAGGUGGUGCAUGGUUGUCGUCAGCUCGUGUCGUGAGAUGUUGGGUUAAGUCC